UACGUAGGUGUCAAGCGUUGUCCGGAUUUAUUGGGCGUAAAGCGCCCGCAGGCGGCUUGCCAAGUUCGAUGUGAAAUCUCCCGGCUCAACUGGGAGGGUGCAUCGAAAACUGGCAGGCUUGAGGCAGGGAGAGGGAUGUGGAAUUCCAGGUGUAGUGGUGAAAUGCGCAGAUAUCAGGAGGAACACCGGUGGCGAAGGCGGGUCUCUGGGCCGAUACUGACGCUGAGGAGCGAAAGCGUGGGGAGCGAACAGG
rnacentral:rRNA from 1 species